rnacentral:snRNA from 1 species
GAGAUUUUACAGUAAAUGGUCAAA